CAGCAGGAAGGGGUGUGAGAGGCAGCCUGAGUGUGUCGUCAGGCUGACAUGUAGCACUUUCCACACGGCUCCACGUGCUUGUCACGUGUCCACUUAUUUCCCGCUUCUAAGAACUCUGAUGUAGGUGCUGUUAUUUCUGCUUUACAGAUGGGAAGGGAGGUACAGGGGUCAUGCGACUCACUGGUCCAAGGCUGCCUGGGUGGUAAGUGGCAGGGCCACGCAGGACCCACAUCCAAGAGUCUCAGUCUCUGUCGCAACCCUGACCGUGUGAGAACGCCCACCGGGAGGCUCCGCCCGUCGAGCCUCAGUGCUGCCACGCGCCCUUGGUCCUGAAUACACGCCUUUAUCUCGCAGCAUCCCAGCCCCCUUCCCCAGGAAAUGGAAAUCCUAGCACCUGCUUCCCCUGGGGGCUUGGGAGCCUCGGAUGCGGAGUUGAGACCAGCCUUUUAGAACCGCUCUCUGGCUGUGCAGAAACAGAAAGGAAUGAGAGCAGACUCCUAACGUGUGAGUUCUCACUUUGCAAAAGGAAGCUGGUGAUGUGUCCACGGACCCAGCAGAACAAGCCUCUGCACCUCUCUUCGGAGCAAAGGCCACAAGGUAAAAGCGCUCAGGGAAAGCCUUCAAGAGCUUUCUCCCGUCAGGCAGCCCAGGAGUCUUGGGCCUCACGGAGCUGAAAUCGCAAACCUCAGAGCCAUUACUUUUUUUUCUGAAGUGAAGUCUGGGGAUGCUGACCUGAGCACCUGCUGCAGAUGACCGCAGGGGUUCCUCACUGGCCGGGCACCGAUACAUUUUAUCUCCACUCACAUCUCCUGUAGGAAAACACCUGUGUCCCUUCAGGACGAGUUGGCUGUCAAGGUGACAUCCUUGCCUAUGUGUUCUGGGUGGGAGGUUGAGGAUUUAUGAGAGAAUCGAAGUGACUUCCGCUUCAGCAAACCAAAAAGACAGAUGGACAGGCAGACAUGAUCAGUUCAUGACGACAGACCCAGAGUGCUGGGCUCUCAGUAUUUACAGUUUAAGGGGAUUUCAAAAGAAAAUAAGAUCAGUUUCAGCAGCACAGGUCACUAGACUCUUUGUUGGGCUGACGCCGGGGAGUGAGCUAGCCUGAGGGCGUCGUCUGAACUUUUGCGAAGGUGUCCACAAUUCAGAGGUCCUUCAAUUUCAGGUUCAAUGCCAAGAAAGAAAAAAACAAACCUUAAAGUUAGAAAGUCAAGGAGUUACCGUGAUCGCUCAGUGGUUAACGAAUCCGACUAGGAACUAUGAGGUUGCGGGUUCAGUCCCUGGCCUCACUCGGUGGGCUAAGGAUCCGGCGUUGCCGUGAGCUGUGGUGUAGAUUGCAGACGUGGCUCGGAUCCCACGUGGCUAUGGCUGUGGUGUAGGCUGGUGGCUACAGCUCCGAUGAGACCCCUGGGCUGGGAACCUCCAUGUGCCGCGGGAGCUGCCCUAGAAAAGGCAAAAAGACCAAAAAAAAAAAAAAAGUCAGGCAUCUAAAAAGGCUUCUGUAAAUGGGCUGAAAAAGAUAAAGGUGAUUUAAACAGAAAAGGUGCACGCUAGAAAGACCCUCAAAAUCUAAAAACCUGGUGGAAGAGACGGGUGAACCCCUGCAGCGGGAGCCUGUUUGGGGAGGCAUUUCCCCGCGCUGCUCCCGCCGCUCCCAGCUCAGGUGCGCACACCUGC
rnacentral:lncRNA from 1 species